GGAUGUAAGGGUGAUCUGGCUGCGAUAUCUGUCACUCCAUUGAUCACCAGGGUUGAUUUGGCUGACCUGGCUGGCUAGGCAGGUGUCCCCUUCCUCCCUCACUGCUUCAUGUGUGUCCCUCCUGAAGCUGUGUACUGGGUCAAAGAGGAUGACUUUCCUGGAUAAAAAGGGGUACAGGUCUAAAAGGAUUAUUUAUUCUAUUGAUACCUUUAGUGAAUAACCAUAAUGGUUCUGUUUCUCCU
rnacentral:sRNA from 1 species